rnacentral:rRNA from 1 species
ACAGCAGCAGCCGCGGUAAUACGUAGGUGGCAAGCGUUGUCCGGAAUUAUUGGGCGUAAAGGGCUCGCAGGCGGUUUCUUAAGUCUGAUGUGAAAGCCCCCGGCUCAACCGGGGAGGGUCAUUGGAAACUGGGAAACUUGAGUGCAGAAGAGGAGAGUGGAAUUCCACGUGUAGCGGUGAAAUGCGUAGAGAUGUGGAGGAACACCAGUGGCGAAGGCGACUCUCUGGUCUGUAACUGACGCUGAGGAGCGAAAGCGUGGGGAGCGAACAGGAUUAGAUACCCCGGUAGUCCCUGUCUCUUAUAC